rnacentral:misc_RNA from 1 species
AACAAAAUGUAGAAUUGUGUAUUUAAAUGAAGGUAACAUUGUUUGGUGUAGAAACAAUUUCGGAGGCUGUUUGCGGGUAGACGGACAAUUGUACGGCAUUAUUUCGAAUGGAUGUUUGCGGUCUAUCGAGCAUUUAGACCGCGGGAUGAAUGAUUGGUACAAGUUUGAAGUAUGAGCGAUUUAAAUGUAGAAUUUUUUCGAAAAUAAAUAAACAGGUAUAGUUUAUGAAAUUUUUAGGAUUAUAGAAUUAGGUUUAAGUUAUAAAAAUAAAAGAUUUUUGUAUUGAUGACUUUAUCAUUUUUUAUUAAUGAUGAUCGUUUUUUUCUUCUUGAAUUUUCGAAAAUUCGAUUUUUGAUUUUUUUAUACAAACCCUGUCCUGGCGAUGACGAACACAAAAAAUCUAAAUCGUUACAGUCAUUAUAAAGUUUGUUCGUUCGUUCGUUCGUAUAUUUCGCCUAUUCUUUUUUGUUUAUAUAGGUUUUUUUAGACAUUGUACAAUUAAGUGCUAAGUAAAGAAUAUUUUCCUGACGUUAUCUUUGUUUCAAUCUUCUGUCAUUUUAAUAAGAGUUACUUAAUGCUUUGUAGUAUUGCUUUAUCUAAAUUUGAAUCGAGAUAGUUAAUUAAUAUUUACAUAACUACAUAUAAUUGUUUUUUUUUUCCAUCACAAUCGUGUAACAUAAAAUUUAUCUUUUCUUUACAAUUGGACCAAACAAAUACCAAGUAUACGUGGUAUUAAUUUUUCGUUUGAAGCUUUAAUGUUGAUUUAUUUUUGCCUCACAAUGGUGUCGAUGUUGAAUAAAAACGUAUUUUAAAAUAUUACUGCACGUAGAAAUAUCUCAGUUGAUUCACGAAGAGAAAAUAGAGAGUUUACGUUCUUAUUUCAAUCGAUCAUUAACAUUUUCUAUACUCAGAGACGCUAGAUGGCGCUGCUUAAUUUCUUUUUUAAUUUUAAAUAAUACUCGUUUUUUUUUUGCAAAUUAGUUUACCACUUAUUAUGAUGAUUUGAAAUAUAUUUUUUUUUUACAAAGUUGAAUAGUACUAAUGUAAUUCUGGAAUUUUUAGAAUUUUAUUUUUAAUAACAUCAACAUUAGGAAUUGUAAAGUGCUUUCUCAUUAUAAUUUUUGCAAAUUUUUUAUAGAAUGUAUCUUUCAUUCAGUUAUAAACAAGAACUAUUUCAUAUGUAAUUAAAUCCUAGCCUACGUUUGUUGAAACCGCAAACUGAGGAAGAGUAUUAGCUGUGGUGGAGAGCUUUGUCUGUACCUUAGAAUGACUGGGCCUGGCUUAAAAGUCUUAUUCUAAUAUUUCAUUUACUCUAUAUACAAUUAUACAUACAUAUAAAUCCAAAAUCGAACAUGUAAUUAUUAACAUUUCAAUCAUUCAAGAUUGUGCUAAAUUAUGUUAUUUUAGUUUAGUUUUUUUUUUAUUUACAGGUUUCAUAAUCAGUAAACUGGAUUGAUUAUACCUUUCAUAGACAGUUUAAAAAUAAAAAUUAUUUGGUUAUUUGUGUGAUUAAAGACACUGGGGGAAUAACUUAUUGGUUCAAUUUUAAAUUCUUUGAGAUUUUAUAGAUGAAAAGUCCGUUUAAAAAGUAAUAAAAAGUGACUUUGAGAUUCAGCCCAUAAUGGAUUAGAAAGGAAUAAGCGCUGUAGCUUCGUUAUACUAAUGCACAUAUUGUUCUAUAAUAGUAUAUUAUUUUACGUCUGAGUUAAAAUUCUUUGCAAGUAGUAAAUUGGAUUAGGUAUGCGUUUAGCACAUUUUCUGCGCGCGAGCUAGUCGUACGCUUCAAUUAGCGGUGUCGUAGGUACAGCGCUAUAAAUCCCAUUAGCUGUGUUGUAUAUAGCACGUGGAUUCUAAGGGCUAACAUCUAGGGCACCGGCAAUCAUUUGUGAUUCAUAUUCUUUUCAGUUGUGAUGGAUCGAUGGUGCAGUGGUCAUGGUUACUGACGCGAGUUUGAUCUCCGUAUGAGAUAAAUAUUUGCCUAGAGACUAGGCCCCCCUUCAUGAAUCCAGCGCGGGGGCGCCUGAGGGUUAUGUCAGACUCCUACUGACUAAAAAAACACCACGUGUGUGCAGUCGUCCGUCUGGGUGGGGCGAGAUGGGGUCGCGCUAGCAUUCGCUACCUCGCCCCGGAGAGUCUAGGCCCUAGAUCAACCAGAUGUUUUUUCGUGAUCAUUUGGGAUGAUUGCGUUGUGUAUGCUGCGGGUCUUCGAUACAAUAUUUAUUUUCUACUGACACCCGUUUAUUGUAACAAGUUUGUUUAAUAUAUUUUUACUUAAAUACGAUUUUUAUUAGUAAUAAGAAAUUUAUAUCUUAUUGGGGAAACUUGUAUGUCUUAAAGCAAAUCCUUAUGCAAUUUUUUUUAUCUUCUCUUAAAAAUAUUUUCUUAUUUAGUUUGCAUUGCAAACUUGACGGCUGAAAUCACUCUCGUUGACUUAAAUACUUUAAUAUUUCCGUUCAAGUUACCAACCUUAUAAUCUUCGUUUGAAUUCAACGUUUAAGUCUUUUGCAAUUAAUUUUUCAAUAAAAACAAAAGGGUAUCGAGUACAUGCGUUGUAAAUUGAAACU